rnacentral:rRNA from 1 species
UACGAAGGGGGCUAGCGUUGCUCGGAAUUACUGGGCGUAAAGGGCGCGUAGGCGGAUAUUUAAGUUGGGGGUGAAAUCCCGGGGCUCAACCUCGGAAUUGCCUUCAAAACUGGAUAUCUUGAGUUCGGGAGAGGUGAGUGGAACUCCGAGUGUAGAGGUGAAAUUCGUAGAUAUUCGGAAGAACACCAGUGGCGAAGGCGGACGU